rnacentral:rRNA from 1 species
GGCAAAAUGACCCCGUAACUUCGGGAGAAGGGGUGCUCUUUAGGGUUAACGCCCAGAAGAGCCGCAGUGAAUAGGCCCAAGCGACUGUUUAUCAAAAACACAGGUCUCUGCUAAACCGUAAGGUGAUGUAUAGGGGCUGACGCCUGCCCGGUGCUGGAAGGUUAAGAGGAGUGGUUAGCUUCUGCGAAGCUACGAAUCGAAGCCCCAGUAAACGGCGGCCGUAACUAUAACGGUCCUAAGGUAGCGAAAUUCCUUGUCGGGUAAGUUCCGACCCGCACGAAAGGCGUAACGAUUUGGGCACUGUCUCAACGAGAGACUCGGUGAAAUCAUAGUACCUGUGAAGAUGCAGGUUACCCGCGACAGGACGGAAAGACCCCGUGGAGCUUUACUGUAGCCUGAUAUUGAAAUUCGGCACAGCUUGUACAGGAUAGGUAGGAGCCUUU